GGGGAGUAACAGUCGGAAACGACUGCUAAUACCGCAUAAGCGCACAGUGCCGCAUGGCACGGUGUGAAAAACUCCGGUGGUCUGGGAUGGACCCGCGUCCGAUUAGUUAGUUGGCGGGGUAACGGCCCACCAAGACCGCGAUCGGUAGCCGACCUGAGAGGGUGACCGGCCACAUUGGGACUGAGACACGGCCCAGACUCCUACGGGAGGCAGCAGUGGGGAAUAUUGCACAAUGGAGGAAACUCUGAUGCAGCGACGCCGCGUGAGCGAAGAAGUAUUUCGGUAUGUAAAGCUCUGUCAGCAGGGAAGAUAAUGACGGUACCUGACCAAGAAGCCCCGGCUAACUACGUG
rnacentral:rRNA from 1 species